AUAUUACUCUCUCCGUCCAGAAAUACUUUUCUAGGAAAUGGAUGUAUCUAGACGUAUUUUAGUUCUAAAUACAUCCAUUUUGAUCCAUUUCUGCGACAAGUAUUUCUAGACGGAGCGAGUAGUUU
rfam:Triticum aestivum genome assembly, contig: Triticum_aestivum_CS42_TGACv1_scaffold_624910_7DS